rfam:Triticum urartu cultivar G1812 contig764888, whole genome shotgun sequence.
UACGUACUCCCUCGGUCCGAAAAUACUUGUCAUCAAAAUGGAUAUAAUGAGAUGUAUGUAGAACUAAAAUAUGUCUAGAUACAUCCCCUUUUGUUCAUUUUAAUGACAAGUAUUUCCGGACGGAGGGAGUAAUAU